GACCAACCUGGUUCCCUAUCCAUGCAUCCACUUCCCUCUGGCCAUAUGUUCCCCUGUCAUUUCAGCUGGGAAAGCCUACCAUGAACAGCUUUCUACAGCAGAGAUCACCAGACAAUCAGAUGGCAAAAUGUGCCCCCCGCCAUGGUAAAUACAUGGCUUGUUGCCUGUUGUACCAUGGUGACGUGGUCCCCAAAGACAUCAAUGCUGCCAUUGCCACCGUGAAGACCAAACGCAGCCUCCAAUUUGUGGAUUGGUGUCCCACUGGCUUCAAAGUUGGCGGUAAUUACCAGCUUUCCACUGUGGUGCUUGGUGGAGACCUGGCCAAGGUACGUUGUGCUGUGUGCAUGUUGAGUAACCUCACAGCCACGGCUGAGGCUUUGUUCACUGGUACAUGGGUGAGGGGAUGGAGGAAGGAGAGUUUUCUGAGGCCUAUAAGGACAUGGCUGCCCUAGAGAAAGAUUAUGAGAAGGAUGGUGUGGAUUCUGUUGAAGGAGAGGGGGAGGAAGAAGGAGAGGAAUACGAAUUAGCUGCUCCUUUCAGCCCUGCAGCAUGUCAUACUCCCAGAACUCCAGCUUCAGCAGUAGCUAACAGGCACUGAAAUUUACUGAUUAGAUUAUCUUCACACAAUCAUGAUCAUGUCUGUCUUUUUCCAUGUGUACCUGUAAGAUCUUUCCAUUAUGUCUCAAAGUAAAGGCUUUAAAGAAAAAAAAAAUCAAUUGAUGUCAGGCACGGUGAU
rnacentral:lncRNA from 1 species